rnacentral:rRNA from 1 species
CCUACGGGUGGCUGCAGUGAGGAAUAUUGGUCAAUGGAAGAGAGUCUGAACCAGCCAAGUAGCGUGAAGGAUGACUGCCCUAUGGGUUGUAAACUGCUUUUAUAUGGGAAUAAAAUGUGCCACGUGUGGGAUUUUGUAUGUACCAUAUGAAUAAGGAUCGGCUAACUCCGUGCCAGCAGCCGCGGUAAUACGGAGGAUCCGAGCGUUAUCCGGAUUUAUUGGGUUUAAAGGGAGCGUAGGUGGAUUGUUAAGUCAGUUGUGAAAGUUGGCGGCUCAACCGUAAAAUUGCAGUUGAAACUGGCAGUCUUUAUUCCAGUAGCGGUGGGCGGUAUUCGUGGUGUAGCGGUGCACUGCUU